rnacentral:rRNA from 1 species
GUAAUGAAGGGGAGGGCUAGCGUUGCUCGGAAUCACUGGGCGUAAAGGGUGCGUAGGCGGGUCUUUAAGUCAGGGGUGAAAUCCUGGAGCUCAACUCCAGAACUGCCUUUGAUACUGAGGAUCUUGAGUUCGGGAGAGGUGAGUGGAACUGCGAGUGUAGAGGUGAAAUUCGUAGAUAUUCGCAAGAACACCAGUGGCGAAGGCGGCUCACUGGCCCGAUACUGACACUGAGGCACGAAAGCGUGGGGAGCAAACAGGG